rnacentral:lncRNA from 1 species
UUCCUCAUUUUACAGAAAAACUAACAUGAGAACAGUGAGAAGCGAAAUGGCGAUUUCCACGGCGAUUCUUCUCCGAUCUCCGCCGUGAUUUUUCUUCGGUCUACAUCUCGCUUCUUCUUCUCCACCGCGCUUCUUCUUCUCCACCGUGCUUCUUCUUCUCUGUGGUUUUUUCAGGUGGAAGGAUUUGAAGUAGUAUGAAAAACACUAGCCACCGUCCACGUUUCACUGCUCCUGCCUCCUCAUUUGUUGCGCCUGCAGCCUCUUCAUCAGUCGCGCAUGCCUCCUCCUCGGUCGUCGCUCCUGCUUCUUCUGGUGCGCCUGCCACUGCUGCUGAUGCUACACAGGUUAUAACUAUAACUGAUAUUGAAAAAAGUGAUGAUUCUACUUCUGAUACAAGUGAUGAUGAAUUUUUGGACUUUGUCUUAUGUGGUAUCAUUUAUGACUAUCAUCAGAAACACUUUGACAAAUCAAAGGUUUUGACAUCUUCAUUGUCUGGUCGCGAGUUUGUGGCUGAAGUGUUAAAUGGUUCUGGAACUAGCUGUUUUGAUCUAUUUCGAAUGAAGAAAGAGUGUUUUCUUAAUUUCUGUAAUGAACUGAGAGACAAGAACUACUUAAGUGACUCGAGGGAUGUGCUUGUUGAAGAGAAAGUUGCUACAUUCUUAUUC